GAUGAACGCUGGCGGCGUGCCUAAUACAUGCAAGUCGAGCGAACGGACGAGAAGCUUGCUUUUCUGAUGUUAGCGGCGGACGGGUGAGUAACACGUGGAUAACCUACCCAUAAGACUGGGAUAACUUCGGGAAACCGGAGCUAAUACCGGAUAAUAUUUUGAACCGCAUGGUUCAAAAGUGAAAGACGGUCUUGCUGUCACUUAUAGAUGGAUCCGCGCUGCAUUAGCUAGUUGGUAAGGUAACGGCUUACCAAGGCAACGAUGCAUAGCCGACCUGAGAGGGUGAUCGGCCACACUGGAACUGAGACACGGUCCAGACUCCUACGGGAGGCAGCAGUAGGGAAUCUUCCGCAAUGGGCGAAAGCCUGACGGAGCAACGCCGCGUGAGUGAUGAAGGUCUUCGGAUCGUAAAACUCUGUUAUGAGGGAAGAACAUAUGUGUAAGUAACUGUGCACAUCUUGACGGUACCUAAUCAGAAAGCCACGGCUAACUACGU
rnacentral:rRNA from 1 species